GUGGGGAAUUUUGGACAAUGGGCGCAAGCCUGAUCCAGCAAUGCCGCGUGCAGGAAGAAGGCCUUCGGGUUGUAAACUGCUUUUGUACGGAACGAAACGGUCCGGGUUAAUACCCUGGGCUAAUGACGGUACCGUAAGAAUAAGCACCGGCUAACUACGUGCCAGCAGCCGCGGUAAUACGUAGGGUGCAAGCGUUAAUCGGAAUUACUGGGCGUAAAGCGUGCGCAGGCGGUGCUGUAAGACAGGCGUGAAAUCCCCUGGCUCAACCUGGGAAUUGCGCUUGUGACUGCAGUUCUGGAGUGCGGCAGAGGUGGAUGGAAUUCCGCGUGUAGCAGUGAAAUGCGUAGAUAUGCGGAGGAACACCGAUGGCGAAGGCAAUCCCCUGGGCCUGCACUGACGCUCAUGCACGAAAGCGUGGGGAGCAAACAGGAUUAGAAACCCCAGUAGUCC
rnacentral:rRNA from 1 species